GUCUUUUUGAAUUUAAUUUAAAGUCUAACCUGCCCACUGAUAAUUUAAAUGGCCGCAGUAUUUUGACUGUGCAAAGGUAGCAUAAUCAUUAGUUUUUUAAUUAAGAACUGGAAUGAAAGGUUGAACGAGAAAAUAACUGUCUCUUUAUAAAUUUUUUAGAAUUUUAUCUUUAAGUUAAAAAGCUUAAAUAUUAUUAAAAGACGAGAAGACCCUAUAGAGUUUUAUAUAAUAAUUAAAUAAUUAUUUUAAUUUGAAUAUGUUAGAUUUUAUUUUUUAUUAUAUUUAGUUGGGGUGAUUGAAAAAUUUAAUUAACUUUUUUUUUAUUAAACCAUUUAUUUAUGAUUUAUUGAUCCAUUAAUAAUGAUUAUAAGAUUAAAUUACCUUAGGGAUAACAGCGUAAUUUCUUUUAAGAGUUCUAAUCGAUAAAGAAGUUUGCGACCUCGAUGUUGGAUUAAAAUAUAGUUUUGGUGUAGAAGCUAAAAUAUUAGGUCUGUUCGACCUUUAAAAUUUUACAUGAUCUGAGUUUAAACCGGUGUGAGCCAGGUUGGUUUCUAUCUUUAAUUAAAAUUAAUAUUUUAGUACGAAAGGACCAAAUAUUAGUAAAAUUUAUUGAAUUUUGAAUGUUAUUA
rnacentral:rRNA from 1 species